ACCGCCGAGUGGCCGGAGCGCGGGGCGGGGCCGAGGCGGCGAGUGUCUGGGCGAGCGUGGCUGGGCCCGGUCCUGGGCUGGGGGCAGGGGCUAGGGCCGGGUCCCGGGACAUGGCCGCUUACCAACAAGAAGGGCAGAUGCAGCUUCCCCGAGCUGAUGCCAUUCGUUCACGUCUCAUCGAUACUUUCUCUCUCAUCGAGCAUUUGCAAGGCUUGAGCCAAGCUGUGCUGCGACACACUAUCAGGAGUUACUUGAUCCUUCCCGCCAGAAGAAACUUAUGUUGGGAGAUCAACACCAGCUAGUGGGCGUCUCUAUAAAGCCUCAACGUAUAGAACAGAUUUCACAUGCCCAGAGGCUGUUGAGCAGGCUUCAUGUGCGCUGCAGUCAGAGGCCACCUCUUUCUUUGUGGGCCGGAUGGGUCCUUGAGUAAUUGCUGGAAUCCACAAAUACCAAACUAUGGCCAUUGAAGCUGACCUUGGAGGGGGCAGCUUGGUUUAUCUUGCUUAUUUUCAUCCUGGAGAUCCUUCUUAAGUGGCUAUCCAACUUUUCUGUUUUCUGGAAGAGUGCCUGGAAUGUCUUUGACUUUGUUGUUACCAUGUUGGUAAGGAUAGAGAUCCUGAGGGUUCGUUUAGUGGGAUGAAGAAUGUGCCUAGGUGAAUCGAAAGAACAAGUUAACAUGAUAAUAGGAAGAAACAAAAAUUUACUUAACUUCUUUCUUUUGAUUUUUUUUUCCUAAAACUAAACAUCAAUCAUUGCAGGAGUUGUUGGUAUUAGGAGCAAAGUAGACUAACUACAACAUCAAUGCCAACAAGAGCAUCUGCCGGUUACUGAGCACUUACUAAGUGCCAAGCACUAUUUUAAGUGUUUUCCUUACAUUAUCUCAUUUAUGCUCCACAACAACCUAAUUAAAUAACCAUGAAUUUUAUCCCCCUUUUUAUAUCUGAACAAGUUGAAGUAUAGUGUUUAAGCAACUUAAUAUAGAAAGGCUGAAUAG
ensembl:lncRNA CATSPER2P1 CATSPER2 pseudogene 1